UACGGGGGGGCAAGCGUUGUUCGGAAUUCCUGGGCGUAAAGGGCUCGUAGGCGGCCAACUAAGUCAGACGUGAAAUCCCUCGGCUUAACCGGGGAACUGCGUCUGAUACUGGAUGGCUAGAGGUUGGGAGAGGGAUGCGGAAUUCCAGGUGUAGCGGUGAAAUGCGUAGAUAUCUGGAGGAACACCGGUGGCGAAGGCGGCAUCCUGGACCAAUUCUGACGCUGAGGAGCGAAAGCCAGGGGAGCAAACGGG
rnacentral:rRNA from 1 species